GUGUGAGCACCGUGCCUUGCUUUCCUUUGGUGGCUCUGGCGGUGACGUGUCUGGCUUUGCGGGGACCCCUCUGCUGCCCUUUCUUCCCUGAGCAGCUAUUGUGGCAGGCUCAUUCAUGCAUCCCUAAAUCCAGCGCGUGCAGCAAAAUGCCGACUUCCAGGAGCAGGAAGCGCCUUCCCAAAACCACUGUGUUGUCUCAAAGCACCCUGGUGGUUUUCUGCCCUCCUCUGCCCCUCCGCUGGAAGCUGCCAUGCCCCGAGGAGCGCCUGGCCUCCCACCCAGACCAGCCAACCUCCCCCUGCCCGGCAGCACUGGGACAACCCCCGGGUGGGCCCCCAGCCCCUGUAAUCUCCCCGCCUGCGCGUUGCCCAGCCAACAGCCCAGACAAGCAGGUGAUGCAUUGACAGGGAGCAGAUGGUCUCCCGCCGAGAAACUCUUCAUCUGCAUAUACGAAGGUGACAAUAUAAGAUGCUGGAAAGUAUUCCCUGCACCUCCACUGUGCUGUGGGGUAGGAGGAUGGUGUCUGACACGGCAUGUACAGAGACAUGUUGAAUCUCACUCAUGUUUCACUUCACACAAUGCAAACAUCACAAGAAGGAAACUUAGCUGCCUGGCUCUGUACUUGUAUUACCUAUAAGAAAUUUGUGUAGUCUUAGACUCAGCACCAAACUCCAACUCAAAAGGGAGUUACAUCUUGUUACAUCUUGGGGGAUUCUCCUUCACCCUCUCAGGAGAAUAAAUGUUGAAAAUUCUUGGUGUUAUAUCUGUGU
rnacentral:lncRNA from 1 species